UUACAGGGAAGGUGAAAUUGCCUGAAAAUGCAAAAUGGUGAUGCCUGGAGACAAUGUGACUGCAGUUUUUGAGCUUGUUUCAGCUAUGCCUCGUGAAACAGGAUUGUUUGACUCCUUAGUACACAAGCCUACUAUUGGGGAUAAAUGAGUAUCCUGGAUUGGUUUGUGUUGUUCAGUAUUUGUUGGUAUUUUUCUAGCCUAAUUCGUUGGUGUGUGUUCUGAUCAAUUUCUUUUUGACAAGACGAAGAUUUGCUUUGAGAGAGGAGGUAAAAUGGUUGGCGCGGGAGCUGUCUCAAAAGUGCUUGGCUAUGAUAUGGCUAAUAUCACUUAAAAUUUUGUAUCUACUCAUUUCGGAAAAGAUGUUAACAGCUAUCAGGAGGGAGAAGUACAAUUUAUGGUGAUUAGGGACAUUUAGUGCACUUAGGAGUUGAUGAUUGCUUAGCCCAACGUUAGAGACAUGAAUAAGUUGAAUGUUGAUUUAUUUGAAUGGCGUGUAGAGAUCUGUUAAUUUCCAUAUUUCUGUUUAUGAAAAUUUGGUAAAGAUAGUUUUCCGAACUUCACAAAUUUUUCUAUCUUCAUUUAGUAUGGAUCAAGGUCCAUGAUAUAAGCAGUGAAAAAAUAUCAAUGGUGUCUUUAUGGUUGUGCUUAAUGAUAUAUAACUACUGAUUCUUGUUGAAAUUAUGACCUUCAGCCUUCAGGUCUAUUAUGAAUGGACCUGUUCCUUGAUUAUUUUGUUUUCUUAUCUUGCUCUAUGUAGCAUCAAAUUCUAUGACUUCAGGGUGAACGGAUAAUGUCAUCAUGCACAAGGAUUCAGGCCUAUCUGAAGGCAUCCCCUCAUUGAAGAAAAUAUUGAACAGCUCUUUGAAAACUCCACCAGUGCCCCCAAUCCUCUCUGUUGCAUCCGCAUCAAUUGCCAGACUGAAAUUUCAUGCCUGAGCUGUUUACCUGUGUUCCCGGUCGCGCUAGCCAGCAUCUUCAGCACUUGCAGUGACUGUUUCACCGUCUUGAUUUUGGACGGCAUAACAUUUUCAUCCUUCAGUAACCUCUCCCCCGUGUGAGUGAA